UGAGAUCUCCAUUUUUGAAAAGUUCUUUUUGCCUUCUACAGAAAAGAGAAAAGAACUCAGAUGUGCUUGUGUGGUCAAGCCAGGCCAGCUCAGACAAGCCAUCUCUUGGACAAUGAUCUGCAGGGGUGGCAUCCUGAUGGUAACCCCAACUAGAAGAAACCUAUUUAAUUAAUUGUGGAUGACGAGUCAAUGAAAAGGUUGACAUGGUGGAAUAUGGAGAAACACCAGUGUGGGAAAUUGAGCAUGCAAGAAUAACAACAGUCAGAUUUCAACAAUUUUCAAUGAAUAGGUUCCAUACUCAAAUUAUCCUUGAAUUGAAGACUUUGUUUAUCAACACGUUUGAUUAAAAUGAAAGACGCAAAAGUGCUUAAUAUAUUUAAAUUUAAAGCAGUUGAAAAUGUUAGAAAUACAAUGCACAAACAUGUAAAAUCUAAAGACCAACACUCUGACAUGUUAGUUUUAUAGAACUUCUUCUUUUGUGUUUUAUUUCCCCCAAAAAAGUUGCUUGGCUCUGUUCUACAUUAAGCAAUGUAAUAGAGCGUCAUAUAUAAAUCAGAUGGCUGAUCAUUCCAUAAGAACAGGUGUUCAGUGUUUAGUGUAGUUCUACACUAAUGUUAUUUCCUUGCUUUUUGGCUCUCUUUUCAGAUUAUUAAUGUUUCAGACAUAGUUAACUAAGUGUAGUCAUUAUGUUAACCUAAGUUUUGAUUUUCCAAAGCGGAAGCUUCCUGAACUCCUGAUGUGAAGAUGUUGGAAGAUGACAUUUCACUAAUGACUCCUUCAAAAAAAUGACAAAGAUUGAUAGAGUUGUUCUCAAAUAGGUACCCAAGAGGUAUGCCUGUAUGUGAGUAAAAUCAUGUGACAUCUUAAGCAAUCAUGCCAUUGUCCGAAGAUUUGUUAAUACUCUUAUAGGGAAAAAUUGAAAUAAGUGUUUAAAUGUUAUUUCUUGUUAAGCAAUGGUUUUGUCUGCUGAAUAACUGAGUUCUGUAUAGUUGAUUAAAAAGAUGUCAUGUAUGAUAUGACAUUCCCUAAGGAUUAAUAAGAUGAGCCAUAAAUGAGAAAGAUGCUAAGGAGAAGCCAUGUCUUUUUGUUAGCAACAGAUGCAAUCUCA